GAUGAACGCUAGCGGCAGGCUUAAUACAUGCAAGUCGAACGGUAACAGGCGGUAGCAAUACUGUGCUGACGAGUGGCGCACGGGUGCGUAACACGUAUGCAACCUGCCCUUUACUGGGGCAUAACCUUGAGAAAUUAAGGCUAAUACCCCAUAGGAUUAUUGGAAGGCAUCUUUUGAUAAUUAAAGAUUUAUUGGUAAAGGAUGGGCAUGCGUCCCAUUAGUUAGUUGGCGAGGUAACGGCUCACCAAGACAAUGAUGGGUAGGGGUUCUGAGAGGAUUAUCCCCCACACUGGUACUGAGACACGGACCAGACUCCUACGGGAGGCAGCAGUAAGGAAUAUUGGGCAAUGGGGGUAACCCUGACCCAGCAACGCCGCGUGAGUGAUGAAGCAGAUUUUCUGUGUAAAGCUCUGUUAAACGGGAAGAAUAGAUAGGUUAGUAGCCUAUUAUGACUGUACUGUUUGAGGAAGCUCCGGCUAACUCCGUGCCAGCAGCCGCGGUAAUACGGAGGGAGCGAGCGUUGUCCGGAUUUAUUGGGCGUAAAGGGCAUGUAGGCGGGCUAAUAAGUCAGUUGUUAAAUAUAUCGGCUUAACCGAUAUUUGCAAUUGAUACUGUUAGUCUUGAGUAUGAGAGGGGACAGUGGAAUAUCAAGUGUAGCGGUGGAAUGCGUAGAUAUUUGAUAGAACACCGGAGGCGAAGGCGACUGUCUGGCUUUUAACUGACGCUGAAAUGCGAAAGCAUGGGUAGCAAACAGGAUUAGAUACCCUGGUAGUCCAUGCCGUAAACGAUGGGUACUAGGUGUUAAUGUGGUUAGUCGCAUUAGUGCCGUAGCUAACGCGUUAAGUACCCCGCCUGGGGAGUACGAUCGCAAGGUUGAAACUCAAAGGAAUUGACGGGGGCCCGCACAAGCGGUGGAGCAUGUGGUUUAAUUCGAUGCAACGCGAAGAACCUUACCUGGGCUUGAACUUGUGAUGAUCGGUGUAGAGAUAUACUUUUUCUCCUUUACGGGAGGACAUCAUGAGAGGUGCUGCAUGGCUGUCGUCAGCUCGUGUCGUGAGAUGUUGGGUUAAGUCCCGCAACGAGCGCAACCCUUAUCACUAGUUGCCAGCGAGUAAUGUCGGGGACUUUAGUGAGACUGCCCGGGUUAACCGGGAGGAAGGCGGGGAUGACGUCAAGUCCUCAUGGCCCUUAUGUCCAGGGCUACACACGUGCUACAAUGGGCGGUACAGAGUGUUGCGAACUUGUGAGAGUAAGCCAAUCACGAAAACCGUUCUUAGUUCGGAUUGCAGUCUGCAACUCGACUGCAUGAAGUCGGAAUCGCUAGUAAUCGCGGAUCAGCAUGCCGCGGUGAAUACGUUCCCGGGCCUU
rnacentral:rRNA from 1 species